rnacentral:lncRNA from 1 species
GAGCCCCUGCUCACACAAUGGCUUCUUACAGCAGAAGCAGCAGCACCUCCAGUGGGAUGAGCACAAGUGUAUGCUCCCGAGUGUCUUGCUGUGGAACAUUUUAUAUGUGAUUUGGGGAUUUUAAGUUGGAAACCAAAAUGUCCAUGUGGGAAGACUGCCUCCUAGUAGCACUUCUUGUGAGGAGCAAGAUUGUACAUCCCAGAGUCAAGGAAUAAAUUGAAGGUAAGGUCCCUUGGGCAUAAAAUGUUGAAAAAAGCUGGGGACCCCUUGUGAUCAUUCACU